rnacentral:rRNA from 1 species
GUUGGCCUCGGAUCAGGUGGGGAUACCCGCUGAACUUAAGCAUAUCAAUAAGCGGAGGAAAAGAAACCAACAGGGAUUGCCUCAGUAACGGCGAGUGAAGCGGCAACAGCUCAAAUUUGAAAUCUGGCGCAAGCCCGAGUUGUAAUUUGUAGAGGAUGUUUCGGGUGAAGCCACGGUCCAAGUCCCUUGGAACAGGACGUCAUAGAGGGUGAGAACCCCGUACCUGGCCGUCGGUGCCCCCCGCUGUGAAACUCCUUCGACGAGUCGAGUUGUUUGGGAAUGCAGCUCUAAAUUGGUGGUAAAUUCCAUCUAAAGCUAAAUACCGGCCAGAGACCGAUAGCGCACAAGUAGAGUGAUCGAAAGAUGAAAAGCACUUUGAAAAGAGAGUUAAAAAGUACGUGAAAUUGUUGAAAGGGAAGCGCUUGCGGCCAGACUUGCCCGCGGUUGCUCAGCCCGCCUUUUGGCGGGUGCACUCUUCCGCGGUCAGGCCAGCAUCGGUUUGGGCGGCCGGAUAAAGGCGUGGGGAACGUGGCCUCCCUUCGGGGAGGUGUUAUAGCCCCGCGCGCAAUGCGACCAGCCCGGACCGAGGUUCGCGCUUUGCUAGGAUGCUGGCGUAAUGGCCGUAAGCGGCCCGUCUUGAAACACGGACCAAGGAGUCUAACAUCUAUGCGAGUGUUUGGGUGUCAAACCCGUGCGCGUAAUGAAAGUGAACGGAGGUGGGAACCGCAAGGUGCACCAUCGACCGAUCCUGAUGUCUUCGGAAGGAUUUGAGUAAGAGCAUAGCUGUUGGGACCCGAAAGAUGGUGAACUAUGCGUGAAUAGGGUGAAGCCAGAGGAAACUCUGGUGGAGGCUCGCAGCGGUUCUGACGUGCAAAUCGAUCGUCAAAUUUGCGUAUAGGGGCGAAAGACUAAUCGAACCAUUU